CCCUUAGAUGUUCUGGGCCGCACGCGCGCUACACUGACUACUUCAACGAGUUGUUUCCUUGAUCGAAAGGUCUGGGUAAUCUUUGAAAGGUAGUCGUGAUGGGGCUAGACCCUUGCAAUUAUUGGUCUCCAACGAGGAAUUCCUAGUAAACGCAAGUCAUCAGCUUGCAUUGAUUACGUCCCUGCCCUUUGUACACACCGCCCGUCGCACCUACCGAUUGAAUGGUCCGGUGAAAUCUUUGGAUUGGCGCUUUACUUUCUUCACGGAAAAUUUAGCAUCGAGAAGUUGAUUAAACCUUACCAUUUAGAGGAAGGUGAAGUCGUAACA
rnacentral:rRNA from 1 species